AGCGACCUCUGAAUUACAGCUAUGGUUUCUGCCAGAUCACCUGCUCCUCUGGCUAAAAUCAGCUCAAAGUGAAGACAAACCAUGCAAGUCCUGAGACCCUGAGCUCUCAGUUUGACUUAUUGUC